GCCUUUAUAGCUCAGUGGUAGAGCACUGGUCUCGUAAACCAGGGGUCGUGAGUUCAAUCCUCACUGGAUGCA
rnacentral:tRNA from 1 species